UACAGAGGUCCCGAGCGUUGUUCGGAUUCAUUGGGCGUAAAGGGUGCGUAGGCGGUUUGGUAAGUCUGAUGUGAAAUCUAUGGGCUCAACUCAUAGUCUGCAUCGGAAACUGCCGGGCUUGAGUGUGGGAGAGGUGAGUGGAAUUCCUGGUGUAGCGGUGAAAUGCGCAGAUAUCAGGAAGAACACCCGUGGCUAAGGCGGCUCUCUAGUACGUGACUGACGCUGAGACGCGAAAACGUGGGGGAGCGAACAGGG
rnacentral:rRNA from 1 species